UACGUAGGGGGCAAGCGUUGUCCGGAAUCAUUGGGCGUAAAGAGCGUGUAGGUGGCUCGGUAAGUCCGCUGUGAAAGUCCAGGGCUCAACCCUGGAAAGCCGGUGGAAACUGUCGAGCUCGAGUCCGGAAGAGGCGAGUGGAAUUCCUGGUGUAGCGGUGAAAUGCGCAGAUAUCAGGAGGAACACCAAUGGCGAAGGCAGUUCGCUGGGACGGUACUGACACUGAGACGCGAAAGCGUGGGGAGCAAACAGG
rnacentral:rRNA from 1 species